GGGUCAGUAGGUUGGUCGUGCCACCGGUACGUACUGGUCUCACUAAUUCCUCCUUCCUGAAGAACCGUAAUGCCAUUAAUUUGGUGUUGCGGGGAAGCAGGACUGUUACUUUGAAAAAAUUAGAGUGUUUAAAGCAAGCUAACGCUUGAAUACAUUAGCAUGGAAUAAUGAAAUAGGACGAUCGAUCCUAUUUUGUUGGUUUCUAGGAUUGACGUA
rnacentral:rRNA from 1 species